AUGCGGAAAUACCAACGAGUCCUAGGAUCGGUGGCCGCCCCUGCCCUGCUCUUGCUCCUGCUCCUCACCCUCGUCCUACCGUUUAUUCAGACCCAGAUGCAGAGCGCACGAGAGAAGGCUGCCGACGAGCGGCGGUUGGACGGAGGCAUCGUGGACUCGCCGGGGGCAGAGAACGACCUCCGCAUCAUCGGCCUCGCCCGCUUCGCCGUCUCCGAGCACAAGAACAAGACCAACGCUCUGCUGGAGUUUGAGAAAGUGGUGAGGCUGAAGCAGCAAGUUGUUGCAGGCAUGAUGUAUUAUAUUACAAUUCAGGUCAAUGAGGGCGGGGCAAAGAAGAUGUAUGAAGCCAAGGUGUGGGAGCGGCCAUGGAUGGAUUUCAAGAAGCUCAUGGAGUUCAGGCCGGCAGAGCGCGCCUCUGCGAGCGCUUAA
rnacentral:rRNA from 1 species